UACGGAGGGUGCGAGCGUUGUCCGGAAUCAUUGGGCGUAAAGGGCGCGUAGGUGGCCCGGUCAGUUCGUGGUGAAAGCGCGGGGCUCAACCCUGCGUCGGCCAUGAAUACUGCCGCGGCUGGAGCACUGUAGAGGCAGGCGGAAUUCCGGGUGUAGCGGUGGAAUGGCGUAGAGAUCCGGAAGAACACCGGUGGCGAAGGCGGCCUGCUGGGCAGUUGCUGGACACUGAGGCGCGACAGCGUGGGGAGCAACAGG
rnacentral:rRNA from 1 species